rnacentral:rRNA from 1 species
CCCCUAGAUGUUCUGGGCCGCACGCGCGCUACACUGAACAGUUCAACAAGUCUUAACCUUGGCCGAUAGGUCUGGGUAAUCUUUGAACGCUGUUCGUGAUUGGGAUAGACCUUUGCAAUUAUGGGUCUUCAACGAGGAAUUCCUAGUAAACGCAAGUCAUCAGCUUGCAUUGAUUACGUCCCUGCCCUUUGUACACACCGCCCGUCGCUACUACCGAUUGAAUGAUUUAGUGAGGACUUCGGACUGAGUCCAAUGCGGCUUUCGGGCUGCGUUGGUAUUUCGGAAAGAUGUCCAAACUGUAUCAUUUAGAGGAAGUAAAAGUCGUAACA